rnacentral:misc_RNA from 1 species
AUUGUGCACCAUUGAUGCAGGGAGGACCGUGUUAUGACCCAGAUAACGUGGCUGCACAUGCUACAUAUGCUUUUGAUGCUUACUAUCACAUGAUGGGGAAGGCUCCCGGGACUUGUGACUUCACCGGGGUGGCUACAAUCACCACAACUAAUCCAAGUCAUGGUACUUGUCUAUUUUCAAGUAAUGGCAAAAACGCUACUUUCCUAAAUGGCACAGCUCCAGCUAUGGACUCCACGAGCUCAUCAGCCUAUCCUGCCCGGUACUUAAACAACAACGCCUUUUCAACAACACUGAUGAUGAUUCUAGGAACUCUAGGAUUUAGCAUGGUUCUUUUGUAGUAUGGCAAUCUUCUUCAGCAUUAUUUACCUGCGAUGGAUGGUGCCCAUUGCACAUUUUUCUUUUCCAAGAACGAGACUAAUUAGUUAUCGUGGAUUCCCUUUACAUUUUCAGAAAAAGGAAGUGAGGUUACUGAUCUUCAGA